UACGUAGGUGGCAAGCGUUGUCCGGAUUUAUUGGGUUUAAAGGGUGCGUAGGCGGUCUUAUAAGUCAGUGCUGAAAUAUCCCGGCUUAACCGGGAGGGUGGCAUUGAUACUGUAGGACUUGAGUAAAGUUGAGGUUGGCGGAAUUGACGGUGUAGCGGUGAAAUGCGCAGAUAUCAGGAAGAACACCAAUGGCGAAAGCAGCUUUCUGGGACGGUACUGACGCUGAGACGCGAAAGCGUGGGGAGCGAACAGG
rnacentral:rRNA from 1 species